UCCAAGCAGUCACACCCUUAGGUCAGAGGCAUGGCCGCUGCGAUGCCGAAACGUGCCUUUGUCCAGGAGGCAGGGAGCACGCGGAGGAAGAGGGACCCUGGCAACUGAGGCUGUGCAGCUCCUGCGCUGCCGAGGGCACCCACAGACACUGCUCCUCUUUGGGGAACAGCACCUACUCCUGGGAGUGCCACACCUGUGCUGGCACGGAGACUGGCUCCACUGGCAAACCAGAGCUUGUCAGCCCCAGCACUUCCAGCCAGGAAUUAUCAAUGCCCUCCCAGGGUGUGUUGCUCCUCAACAGCAGCUGCUUCC